rnacentral:rRNA from 1 species
AGUCUGCAACUCGACUACAUGAAGCUGGAAUCGCUAGUAAUCGCGAAUCAGAAUGUCGCGGUGAAUGCGUUCCCGGGUCUUGUACACACCGCCCGUCACACCAUGGAAGUUGGGGGUGCCCAAGCCGGCAAGCAAAUAUGCUGUCUAAGGCAAAACCAAUGACUGGGGUGAAGUCGUAACAAGGUAAC